GAUGAACGCUGGCGGCGUGCCUAAUACAUGCAAGUCGAGCGAAUUGACAGAGGUGCUUGCACCUCUCGAUUUUAGCGGCGGACGGGUGAGUAACACGUGGGUAACCUACCUAUAAGACUGGGAUAACUUCGGGAAACCGGAGCUAAUACCGGAUAAUAUUUAGCUUCGCAUGAAGCAAUAGUGAAAGACGGUUCCGCUGUCACUUAUAGAUGGACCUGCGGUGUAUUAGCUAGUUGGUGAGGUAACGGCUCACCAAGGCAACGAUACAUAGCCGACCUGAGAGGGUGAUCGGCCACACUGGGACUGAGACACGGCCCAGACUCCUACGGGAGGCAGCAGUAGGGAAUCUUCCGCAAUGGACGAAAGUCUGACGGAGCAACGCCGCGUGAGUGAAGAAGGUUUUCGGAUCGUAAAACUCUGUUGUAAGGGAAGAACAAGUACGUUAGUAACUGAACGUACCUUGACGGUACCUUACCAGAAAGCCACGGCUAACUACGUGCCAGCAGCCGCGGUAAAAC
rnacentral:rRNA from 1 species